rnacentral:rRNA from 1 species
GACGAACGCUGGCGGCGUGCUUAACACAUGCAAGUCGAACGGAAAGGCCCUGCUUUUGUGGGGUGCUCGAGUGGCGAACGGGUGAGUAACACGUGAGUAACCUGCCCUUGACUUUGGGAUAACUUCAGGAAACUGGGGCUAAUACCGGAUAGGAGCUCCUGCUGCAUGGUGGGGGUUGGAAAGUUUCGGCGGUUGGGGAUGGACUCGCGGCUUAUCAGCUUGUUGGUGGGGUAGUGGCUUACCAAGGCUUUGACGGGUAGCCGGCCUGAGAGGGUGACCGGCCACAUUGGGACUGAGAUACGGCCCAGACUCCUACGGGAGGCAGCAGUGGGGAAUAUUGCACAAUGGGCGGAAGCCUGAUGCAGCAACGCCGCGUGCGGGAUGACGGCCUUCGGGUUGUAAACCGCUUUCGCCUGUGACGAAGCGUGAGUGACGGUAAUGGGUAAAGAAGCACCGGCUAACUACGUGCCAGCAGCCGCGGUGAUACGUAGGGUGCGAGCGUUGUCCGGAUUUAUUGGGCGUAAAGGGCUCGUAGGUGGUUGAUCGCGUCGGAAGUGUAAUCUUGGGGCUUAACCCUGAGCGUGCUUUCGAUACGGGUUGACUUGAGGAAGGUAGGGGAGAAUGGAAUUCCUGGUGGAGCGGUGGAAUGCGCAGAUAUCAGGAGGAACACCAGUGGCGAAGGCGGUUCUCUGGGCCUUUCCUGACGCUGAGGAGCGAAGGCGUGGGGAGCGAACAGGCUUAGAUACCCUGGUAGUCCACGCUGUAAACGGUGGGUACUAGGUGUGGGGUCCAUUCCACGGGUUCCGUGCCGUAGCUAACGCUUUAAGUACCCCGCCUGGGGAGUACGGCCGCAAGGCUAAAACUCAAAGGAAUUGACGGGGCCCCGCACAAGCGGCGGAGCAUGCGGAUUAAUUCGAUGCAACGCGUAGAACCUUACCUGGGUUUGACAUGGAUCGGGAGUGCUCAGAGAUGGGUGUGCCUCUUUUGGGGUCGGUUCACAGGUGGUGCAUGCCUGUCGUCAGCUCGUGUCGUGAGAUGUUGGGUUAAGUCCCGCAACGAGCGCAACCCUUGUUCACUGUUGCCAGCACGUUAUGGUGGGGACUCAGUGGAGACCGCCGGGGUCAACUCGGAGGAAGGUGGGGAUGACGUCAAGUCCUCAUGCCCCUUAUGUCCAGGGCUUCACGCAUGCUACAAUGGCUGGUACAGAGAGUGGCGAGCCUGUGAGGGUGAGCGAAUCUCGGAAAGCCGGUCUCAGUUCGGAUUGGGGUCUGCAACUCGACCUCAUGAAGUCGGAGUCGCUAGUAAUCGCAGAUCAGCAACGCUGCGGUGAAUACGUUCCCGGGGCC